rnacentral:lncRNA from 1 species
UGACAAAGUUUUUAUUUUACUUUUUUAACUUUUAAAAUGAACAUCUAAUAUCUUAAAAUAUCAAAUUUUAUUGGUACUAUUUCUUUCGUCGGCUUUCGAUUAACGAAACUUGACGAAAAACUGAUGGAAAAAAUGAAUGAGUGAAAUAUUAGUUUACGGAAUUACAUAUUUAUUUUAAAUAAGUAAAAAAUAAAGUAAAAUUCUGUCAAAAAUUCAAGAAAUUUAUAUCUAUUUUUUUAGUCAUAACAGUUUAGUUUUGUGUG